GGUUCACUCAGUGGUUAGAGCUUAGACCUUGUGACCGUAAGGUCCCGGGUUCGAAUCGCGCCAGAGGCA
rnacentral:tRNA from 1 species